rnacentral:sRNA from 1 species
GUACUGCUAGAGCGUUCCUAAAAGUGAGGAACCUUAAAAACCUCAGUUGGCACAUUCCUGAUCAUAGAGCAGUCCUGACCUGGUCCAGUCAGUUGUGACUAGUCAUAUGUGCUGGCGUCGAAGAAAGUAUAUGAUUACAAAGUGAUGAAAGUAUGAUCCAAGUUGUAAAUCAAGUUCCAUCUGUGUAGGAUCUCUUGGUGAGAUCCUUAGUGUUUUAGAAUGAAAGUAGGAGCUCAGUCUUGGGGGUCAUUCUGAAACUCCAAUGGCUAAUCAUACUCAAGUAGAGGGAUUAAUUCAUGUGGUGAGGAGUAGCAGGAGGUCUUAGUCUUGGGAGCUUCCAGUAUGCCUCAAGGCCCGGAACAGGCUAACCUCGUGAGUGUGGCAAGGUGGGGAACCCAAGUUUCAUAAGUCACCACGAGUGCAGGAUCCGCCAUAGCUCGACUAUCAUUCUAAAGUCCGGACGAGUCAAGUCUAGAAGAUAACAUGCUAGGAUGUAUGCCUUAAACUGCUUUGAUUUAAGUUAACUAUUGUGUGUUAUGUGCUUGAUAUGAUGCAUGCUUUUAUAUAAUUAGCUCACCCUUGCUUGUUUGUGUGCUUGUUGUAUGUGUUUUCUUUUGCAAUGAUCAUCCACUUGGAUGUGAGUAGAAGAAGAUGAGGUUUCUUUGGAGGCAACAUUGGAGAGAAAUGAAGAUGAUGUUACAGCUUAGACUCACUAGGAAUUCUUAGUUCUC